UAUUAUCCAAACACACUAGCUGGCUUAUUUUGUAAGACAUCUUGGAAAGAACAUUAAUUAAUUUUCAUGCUAAACUUGGUCUGCAACGUUGGCCUCAUUGGAGGAAUAAGGUUGUUAGGGAGCACUUCUGCAAUGUUCCCUUCAGAUCAUUUUGUCUAAUCCUCUUCUAACCAUAAGACAUCUUCUAUAAAUGCAAAUAUUUGUUGUUACUUAAAACUAUAGAUAGAAUCUAUUUAAUAUAUAGCAAACACUGCCAGGAUGAUCGUGGUAAGCUCACAAAAUCAAACAUAUGGUUGACUAUCAUCAAUCAAAAAUAAACUGGAUAUUUUUUAUCAUAAAACAAACAGAAAUCCAUUUAAAAUAUACACGACUUAAGGAGUUAUAGCAUUCAUUUGUCACUGUAUGGGAAAGCUCAUUCAGACGCCAAGUGCCAGGGUUCUUUCUUCUUGGACAACUCAGUCCAGUCUUUUGUCUUUGGCCAAAUAGCUUAUGCCAGGCACAUGGAAAGAACACAGGGUUCAGAUUCCAAAAAAUUCUGUUUGAUUUUUAGUAUUAUAAUUAAUAAGCCAUGUUUUGUGGGAUAAUUAGACUACUUAAUAUCUUUGCAAAUAAACUUUCUUAUCUCUAAAAUAGCUUAUAUUUAUUGAAUAUUUACUAUGUGCCGGGACUGGACAAUAUGCUUUAUAUGGGAUAUCUCAUUAAUUCUCACAGAAACCAUAGGAGGUAGACUUUUCAUUAUUUUCACUUUACUUACAAGGAAAUUAAGGCUUGGAGAGUUUAAGUAAUUUGUCUGAAGUGAUAAAGACUGUGAUUUGUAGAGCUGGGUUUCUAGACAGUUCUGACCCCAGAGCUCAAAACUGUAAUUACUCUGCCAUAAUCAUUAUCCCCCCGCCCCAUGCUACCUUCAUCUCAGUUCUCUUGGGAAUUUUGCUCCUUUUCAACAUGAAAGCAUUAAAAUAAGGGUAAAAUGUGAGUGCAUAUGUAAGAGUUUAUGUACUUUCAAGCUUAGUGCUUUCGAGCACUAUACAUAUUAAUAUUCAUUCAACAAAUAAUUAUAAGCAGCUACCAUGCAAGUAACAAUUGCCAGACUGGAUUUCAACCAACCCAGUGUAUGGAUACAGACAGUUACUCCAAGGAAUGCACACUAAAAGUUGGAAUUGUCCUCCAUGACACCAAUAUCCAAAAGUUCACAAUGUACCCCAAAUAUUUUUGUUGCCUUUAAUAACUCUGUUGAUCGUCUGUGAAUAUAUGUAAAUAUUUUUGAAUUAGCAUGUGUAUCUUCAUUCCCUACCUCUGGGGUAACAAGUUCCAUAUGUUUAUUCUCAACUCAGUUGUCCUUUUGUUUGUUGCUUAAAGUCUCUCAAAUUUCAAAGGAUGUUUCUAGUAUUCUGAGAUCUCAUGAACGAGUUAUAGCCAACUUAUUUAAAUCCUUCAUGAUUGCAUAGAUUUCAAUUAUAUCUUACUCGGUCUUUGUUUUCCCAUCUUCCCAAUCUGAAGAGUCAUAGUAUUUUUGAAACUCCUUUUAGAAACAUUAGGUGUUGUCUCUGUGAUGCCAAACAUCUGGCUGAAUAUGGAAUAAAGAAGGGAAGCAUCAGGAUGUAUUCACAUAUCCAGCUGUUUGGCAUUAGGUAAGUAAGUUUCUACUUCUCAUUCAGAUAUAUAGAGGCAGGGACUGUAUGGCCAUCUCUUCCUUCCUCUAAGGGUUACUGACUGGUGCAAGAGGGUAAUAGGGUUUAGGAAUGAUAAAUCAGGAUGUCAUGGUGUCAACACAUCCAAAGAGGUGAUUGAAUUCAAUUUCUGUUCUCUGGCUUUGAAACAAUAAGAUGAUUUUCCUCUAGUGACUUGCAAUGGCAGAGAACUGAAAAUGAAUUCCAAAAAGGAAGCCUCCAAGAGUGUUUAGCAACUAGAUGGGGGCUUUGUUGCUGUUGUGGUAAGUUUUAAAGUUAGGACAUCCUGUGGUUUGGGAGGGAUCAGAAAAAGUGACCAGGAAGAACUAUUAAGGAAGUGUUCUUGAAAACCCUUUUCUCAAACGAGGCCAUAAUUGUGUAACUUGUAUAGAGUUGCAGUACUUUCAUAGUGUACUGCACAAGACAUCUUCCAUGAUAAAUUACCUACAACACUUGGAUAAUGGAAGAAAAGGGCCAUUUAAUAUUACAUACAAUAAGCAAAGUAUUGCGGUUUCUAAUUAAGUGCCCAAGUCUGUUGUACAAUGAACUAUUUGUUGAACUUUUAAAAUACAAUUUGGAACCUUUGAGUAAAUGACUUACGGCCAUGUGGUAAAAAACAGAGACAUUUAUGCUGGGACACAUGGAUUGCAUUAUCUUUUCUUGGGCUUGCUUGCUCUUCUACAGACUGGGAGAGACUACCUGGUAUAGCCAGAAAGCAAGAAUGCAGGUGAUUUGGCAGGAAGGACCCUACUCUGCCUUAGCCAGCAGUAAGCCAAAGGUCAUUCUGAAAGAAAUCCUUAGAUUAGCUAUUGUCUGGGAGGUGGUACCUUCUGAUUUUGAAAUGCUAGUGACAUCAAGGACAAAGAAAUCCCAAUAGGGCCCAGGGAACUGUGUACUAGUUUAAGAAGGGUUCCUUAGGUCAUGUUGUGCAACAACCUGUUUCCUGAAAUUUACCUUCAGGGAGAAAUUGAAACCCUUCCUUGUGCCUGGUUAUAUAACUUAAGGACAAGAGAGCACAUGCCAGCAUGUUCAUGCAUAUAUUUUGAUCCCUUUAAUAGUCUUAAGUUAUUUGAAGUUCCCAUUUACUUGGAUUUGGCCAGAAACAGUCUCAGUUCUCAGAAAAAAAAAAUGUCUUAAAGAACCACCAAGAGGCUCAAGAGGCUUCUGGGACAUCAAACAUCUUUACAGACAUUUUUGAUGAGUCAAGUGUAAACAAAUCAGAUAGAUAGAGGCCAAUUUUUUUCUUGACAAACAUGAACUUAAUAACAAGGAAAUGAGGCUUGGGAGGGAAAAAGAAAAGGUGGGAAGGUCUUGGGAAAACAUGUUCUGAACUUUGAUGAUCACAAAGUGUUAUACAAAGAUUUCUUGAUACAUGAACACGACCAGAGCUGGAUUCACUCAACACUGCUAUUGUUCCAGCAGGAAAUCUGGUGAUAACAUUUGGUUCAGUUGCUAUUUAGUAUCUGCCGAAAGUGACUCUGAUAUAAACUCCUCCAUGAUGUCACAGUUCUGCAUAGUAAUUGAUCGUACUGUUUGGGGGUGCCCUUUUUUUUGAGAAUUAGAAUACUUCCUUGCUUAGUAAAUGUGAAUAUAAUCACAUCUAGAAUUCAGGAAGUACAAGUAAGGAUAUCAGAAAAGACUUCUUGUAUAAGAGGAUGCUUAAAAUAAGUUUUAAAGGAUAUGAAGAAUUUAGCCAUUCAUAGAAAUAUGGUCGAGCUAGUAGGAAAAAUGCUUCAGAGCAUGAUAGAAGUGAAGGGCGUUUUCAGGAAACUACAAAUAGUCUGGAUUCCUAGCAUGUCAAGUGGAAGGAGGUGGAAGGGGCUGAGAUUGGAAAGGAAAGCGGGGCUCAGAUCAGGACAAUAUUUGGAGGGUAAUUAUUAACUUUAGAGAGGUUGUAAUGAGGAAGAGGAAUGGUCACAUUAGACCUGGUGCUUGGCUGCGAUGUGGAAAAUGAAUGAGAUGGAGCUAAGACUAUAAUUGGGUAAAAGAUCUGAGUGAUGUUGCACUAUUUCGGGAAGGAUCUUAAAAAGAUCUCAAAAGUGGCCAUGGAAAUAGGGGUAGAUGGCAGGAUGGGAGAGUAAAUAAAGAGAAUCUCUUUUUCUAGCAACAAUACUAAAAGCUAGCAAAGAUGGAGAGGUGGCGGCUAGCCUUCCAAUAAGCACAAACUCUGGAACACAGAUUUUGGGUUCAGGAGUCUGGGUUCAAAACCCACCACCAAAACUUACCAGAUGGGUGACCUUAGACAACUCACUUAAUCUGUCUGUUCCUUGGUUUCUCCCUCUGUCUAAUGGGAAUAAAAUAAUCUAACUCAAAGGGUUGUUAUAGGAGGAAUAAUUGAGUUAAUAUGUGAAGCAUAUAAGGAGUGUCUGGCAAAGAGUAAACAUUACACAUUCUAUAUUAAUAGUGUGCUAUGCACAGGUAUUGUGCCCAGCUCUUAAUAUCUAUCUUCUUGGUUAAUCUUUAAAAUAACCCCAUGAAAAGGGCAUGGCCUUCUUAUUUUUCAGAUGAGAAUACUGCAGCUUGGAGGGUUUACACAACUUUUCAUAACUUUUCCAUAAUCAUAGAGCCAGUAAGUAAUAAAAAUGCAAUAUAAGUCCAGAGCUCCAUGCCCUUAACAUUUUGUUAUGACUUCUGUGAAAGUUCAAGUCUUCUUGCCUCUGAAGAGGGAGAAACUCAGGCAUAACAUACAAUAUAUGAUGCCUUCUCUCCCAUUCGUGUCCAGAAGAGGGUGCAUGCAGCAGUAUGCUUCAUGGGAGGUGGCGUGGUACCACAGAAAGUAGGGAAGUUCAAAUUUAGGACACCUGGUUUAAAUAUCAGCUCCCUAACUUAUGAUUAUUGCUUUGAGAAAUUUCUUCAUCUGGGUGUGGUUGAAGAUGGAAGAUAAUCAAACUGGAGAAAGCCCUUUAUAAAUGAUAACAUGCCAGAUAAGCAUUAGUCACUGAUUGUCGCUUUAAAAAGAGUAAAAUAAUAGUCAGCCAUGAUCGUGACUCCGUCUUUUCUCAACCAAGAAAGCCAGCAAUAAAUAAAAAUCAUCCCUCUCCAACAUCAUUAAUUCUACAUAUUCAGGAAAAAUAUCUUUGUCACUCUCCAUUGUACACAAACUUGAAAAGGUAAUUCACUGUUGCUUCUUACUUCCUUCCAGUCAGCACUAUGUUAGCAUGACUCAAACAUUAUUCUAAAUCAUUUAGCAUAAAUGAAUGCUUCUUCCAGAUGGGAGGAGAGAGGAGUAAGACCAAAAGAGAGCAGCUCAGAACUUCCUAAACUAAGGUCUUUUGUUCUCUGGGGAUCCUUGAGCAUAUUCCCAGUAGUCUAUGAGAUUUUUUAACUUGGGAAUUUCAUAUCAAUUGCAAUCUAAAAAUAUGUACAUAAGCAUAUUUUUGACCAUCUGAUGGCAACCUCACAACCAAGAAUUGUCCCCAUAUUCAAUAGUGUUUUUGUUUUGAGUUUGUUGUACCCAAGUAGUUCUACUUCAUCCUGGGCUAGAGUGAAAAAAACAUGGAGGCAGAAUUACUAUGUAAACGGUGCAUUUCUGCCAAGUGAAGGCCAAAUGACAUCAUGUUAUGGUUCCACAGUAGUUGGAACAGAGAAGAGUGGUGGAAAAAAUGACUGAUCUCACAGCACACAGAUGUAUGGGCACGAUGACCGCAAAAGAACUUGAACCUUAACAUGGUACACCUCGACUGUAUAAAAUUCCAAUGUCACAAAAGUUAGAUCUGCUUCUGCCUCUGGCUGCUGUACCUUUUGUCAUCCAGUCCCGGGGUGGCUGUGCAUCGUUUGUGCCUCUGUGCGGCAUGAAACACAAGCCACAACUCCCACCUGCCUUGAGGUCACGUGAAGCCAUGGGACUGAUUUCUGGGCAGGAGGGAUAAAUGUCACAUCUGGGUCAGGUUCAUAAAACUGCCGAGGGGAUCCUCUAUGCUCUCUUCCUUCUGUCAUUGAACAACCAGAUGCAGAGCAUAACAGGGCCAAUCUAAAGACACAGGACAUGAGAGAAACCACUGAACGGAAGGAUCCCACAUCUCUGACUGACUGUGUGGAGCAGCUUCCCUGGAUCCAGCAUGAUCUGGUCUAUAAUGUGAGAGAAGACUAAACACUUAAUUGUGCUAAGCCACCAAAAUUGUGUGCUCAACAGUUAACGUCACCUUCUCUGACAAAUAUGAAACUCAGUUUUCCCCUCUGAUCAAGGUAAAAAAAUGUAGUGCUUGGCAUUAGCAUGCUGUAUCACUUUUAAAAUUUUCCUUUGUAUUCAGCAUAUUAAAUGUCCUGAAAUUCAUAGGAGAUGACAAAGAAACGCAUUAGAUCCAUAUUGAAGAUGAAGGUGUGGGCUCUAGAAUCGGACUACUUGGGUCUGCAUCCCAACUUCACCACUUACUAACUGAUGCUUGGGAAGGGAUAUGUAAUCUUUCUGAGCCAUGGUUUCUCAUUUAUGAAAUGAAGGGGAUAAUAGCACACUAUAAAUGGUAAUGCUAGAAUGGUAACUAUUAUUUCUGUAAUCAUCAUCAUCAUCAUUAGUACAUAGUU